GGGAAACUCACCAGGUCCAGACAGAAUAAGGAUUGACAGAUUGAGAGCUCUUUCUUGAUCUUUUGGAUGGUGGUGCAUGGCCGUUCUUAGUUGGUGGAGUGAUUUGUCUGCUUAAUUGCGAUAACGAACGAGACCUUAACCUGCUAAAUAGCCCGGUCGGCGUUUGCCGGCCGCUGGCUUCUUAGAGGGACUAUCGUGCUCAAGCCGAUGGAAGUUUGAGGCAAUAA
rnacentral:rRNA from 1 species